UAAUCUUGCAAAAUACAAUGAUUAACACAAUGAGUAUGGGUUAGUCUCCACCUUUAUAAAGACACAAGAACUUCACAGCCUGCAUCUCUCAGCUGCUGACUUUGCUCUCUGUACCAGUCUUCUGACUCCACCUAUCAAUCUGUGGGCAGGAUGAAGUUUGCCAUGAUCUUCCUCGUGUUGACGCUGGUCGUCCUCAUGACUGAACCUGGAGAGUGUGGUUUUGUGCGUCUGGGACGAAGGUGGACAGAUUUCAAGCGUGGUAUGGACUCGUCUGGAGGGCCUGCAGAACAAGAAGUUGUCCAACGGGAUGCUGAAGCCUAUAAUCGCUGAAUCGAAAGAUCACACCAAGAUGCAGUUUUCAAGCUGAAUGACUUGGGGGGGAAAUACAUUACCCCUUAGGUUCUAUAGUUUUGUGCUUUGCAACACAGGAAAUUAGUGGAUAAACAAACAGACCAGUGAUCUCAGUUUUAACUGGUUUUGGAAAAAUGUCAAACUGCUUGAUAUUGCAGAAUGCCCUGAUGAAUAAAACUGCAUAACAAAAAGUCAAA